rnacentral:rRNA from 1 species
GAAGAGAUAAGUGCUGAAAGCAUCUAAGCACGAAACUUGCCCCGAGAUGAGUUCUCCCUGAGACUUUAAGUCUCCUGAAGGAACGUUAAAGACGAUGACGUUGAUAGGCCGGGUGUGUAAGCGCAGCGAUGCGUUGAGCUAACCGGUACUAAUGAACCGUGAGGCUUAACCUU